UACGAAAGGGGCAAGCGUUGUUCGGAUUUACUGGGCGUAAAGGGCACGCAGGCGGUCUUGCCAGUCAGGGGUGAAAGCCCGGGGCUCAACCCCGGAACUGCCUCUGAUACUGCAGGACUAGAGACUAGGAGAGGGUGGUGGAAUUCCCAGUGUAGAGGUGAAAUUCGUAGAUAUUGGGAGGAACACCAGAGGCGAAGGCGGCCAUCUGGCUGAUAACUGACGCUGAGGUGCGAGAGCGUGGGGAGCAAACAGG
rnacentral:rRNA from 1 species